GGGUUGUGAGGUUAAGCGACUAAGCGUACACGGUGGAUGCCCUGGCAGUCAGAGGCGAUGAAGGACGUGCUAAUCUGCGAAAAGCGUCGGUAAGGUGAUAUGAACCGUUACAGCCGGCGAUGUCCGAAUGGGGAAACCCAGUGCAAUUCGUUGCACUAUCGUUAACUGAAUACAUAGGUUAACGAGGCGAACCGGGGGAACUGAAACAUCUAAGUACCCCGAGGAAAAGAAAUCAACCGAGAUUCCCCCAGUAGCGGCGAGCGAACGGGGAGCAGCCCAGAGUCUGAAUCAGCUUGUGUGUUAGUGGAACGGUCUGGAAAGUCCGACGGUACAGGGUGAUAGUCCCGUACACCAAAAUGCACAGGUUGUGAACUCGAAGAGUAGGGCGGGACACGUGGUAUCCUGUCUGAAUAUGGGGGGACCAUCCUCCAAGGCUAAAUACUCCUGACUGACCGAUAGUGAACCAGUACCGUGAGGGAAAGGCGAAAAGAACCCCGGCGAGGGGAGUGAAAAAGAACCUGAAACCGUGUACGUACAAGCAGUGGGAGCACCUUCGGGUGUGACUGCGUACCUUUUGUAUAAUGGGUCAGCGACUUAUAUUCUGUAGCAAGGUUAACCGUAUAGGGGAGCCGCAGGGAAACCGAGUCUUAACUGGGCGUUAAGUUGCAGGGUAUAGACCCGAAACCCGGUGAUCUAGCCAUGGGCAGGUUGAAGGUUGGGUAACACUAACUGGAGGACCGAACCGACUAAUGUUGAAAAAUUAGCGGAUGACUUGUGGCUGGGGGUGAAAGGCCAAUCAAACCGGGAGAUAGCUGGUUCUCCCCGAAAGCUAUUUAGGUAGCGCCUCGUGAACUCAUCUUCGGGGGUAGAGCACUGUUUCGGCUAGGGGGUCAUCCCGACUUACCAACCCGAUGCAAACUACGAAUACCGAAGAAUGUUAUCACGGGAGACACACGGCGGGUGCUAACGUCCGUCGUGAAGAGGGAAACAACCCAGACCGCCAGCUAAGGUCCCAAAGUCACAGUUAAGUGGGAAACGAUGUGGGAAGGCACAGACAGCCAGGAUGUUGGCUUAGAAGCAGCCAUCAUUUAAAGAAAGCGUAAUAGCUCACUGGUCGAGUCGGCCUGCGCGGAAGAUGUAACGGGGCUAAACUGUGCACCGAAGCUGCGGCAGCGACACUAUGUGUUGUUGGGUAGGGGAGCGUUCUGUAAGCCUGCGAAGGUGGCCUGUGAGGGUUGCUGGAGGUAUCAGAAGUGCGAAUGCUGACAUAAGUAACGAUAAUGCGGGUGAAAAGCCCGCACGCCGGAAGACCAAGGGUUCCUGUCCAACGUUAAUCGGGGCAGGGUGAGUCGACCCCUAAGGCGAGGCCGAAAGGCGUAGUCGAUGGGAAACAGGUUAAUAUUCCUGUACUUGGUGUUACUGCGAAGGGGGGACGGAGAAGGCUAUGUUAGCCGGGCGACGGUUGUCCCGGUUUAAGCAUGUAGGCGGAGGUUCCAGGUAAAUCCGGUACCUUUUUAACGCUGAGGUGUGAUGACGAGGCACUACGGUGCUGAAGUAACAAAUGCCCUGCUUCCAGGAAAAGCCUCUAAGCAUCAGGUAACAUUAAAUCGUACCCCAAACCGACACAGGUGGUCAGGUAGAGAAUACCAAGGCGCUUGAGAGAACUCGGGUGAAGGAACUAGGCAAAAUGGUGCCGUAACUUCGGGAGAAGGCACGCUGAUAUGUAGGUGAAGCCCCUGCGGGUGGAGCUGAAAUCAGUCGAAGAUACCAGCUGGCUGCAACUGUUUAUUAAAAACACAGCACUGUGCAAACACGAAAGUGGACGUAUACGGUGUGACGCCUGCCCGGUGCCGGAAGGUUAAUUGAUGGGGUUAUCCGUAAGGAGAAGCUCUUGAUCGAAGCCCCGGUAAACGGCGGCCGUAACUAUAACGGUCCUAAGGUAGCGAAAUUCCUUGUCGGGUAAGUUCCGACCUGCACGAAUGGCGUAAUGAUGGCCAGGCUGUCUCCACCCGAGACUCAGUGAAAUUGAACUCGCUGUGAAGAUGCAGUGUACCCGCGGCAAGACGGAAAGACCCCGUGAACCUUUACUAUAGCUUGACACUGAACAUUGAGCCUUGAUGUGUAGGAUAGGUGGGAGGCUUUGAAGCGUGGACGCCAGUCUGCGUGGAGCCAACCUUGAAAUACCACCCUUUAAUGUUUGAUGUUCUAACGUUGGCCCCUGAUCGGGGUUGCGGACAGUGUCUGGUGGGUAGUUUGACUGGGGCGGUCUCCUCCCAAAGAGUAACGGAGGAGCACGAAGGUUAGCUAAUCCUGGUCGGACAUCAGGAGGUUAGUGCAAUGGCAUAAGCUAGCUUGACUGCGAGCGUGACGGCGCGAGCAGGUGCGAAAGCAGGUCAUAGUGAUCCGGUGGUUCUGAAUGGAAGGGCCAUCGCUCAACGGAUAAAAGGUACUCCGGGGAUAACAGGCUGAUACCGCCCAAGAGUUCAUAUCGACGGCGGUGUUUGGCACCUCGAUGUCGGCUCAUCACAUCCUGGGGCUGAAGUAGGUCCCAAGGGUAUGGCUGUUCGCCAUUUAAAGUGGUACGCGAGCUGGGUUUAGAACGUCGUGAGACAGUUCGGUCCCUAUCUGCCGUGGGCGCUGGAGAAUUGAGGGGGGCUGCUCCUAGUACGAGAGGACCGGAGUGGACGCAUCACUGGUGUUCGGGUUGUCAUGCCAAUGGCAUUGCCCGGUAGCUAAAUGCGGAAGAGAUAAGUGCUGAAAGCAUCUAAGCACGAAACUUGCCCCGAGAUGAGUUCUCCCUGAGACUUUAAGUCUCCUGAAGGAACGUUAAAGACGAUGACGUUGAUAGGUCGGGUGUGUAAGCGUAGCGAUACGUUGAGCUAACCGAUACUAAUGAACCGUGAGGCUUAACCUUACAACGCCGAAG
rnacentral:rRNA from 1 species